CCAUCUGUUCUUGUUGCUCCCCCCGCCGUUUCACAUGGCUACUCAAUAUAUCUUUUUAAGUGUGUGGUGUGGUGUUCUCUAGGGUAUAUAUGAGAGAUGAGGUUGGAUCUCAUUUUAUCACGGUUGUACUCGACAGGAGAAUAGAUGAAAAAGGUUUGUUUUCCUAUCUUGUUGUGGUGUGGUGUUCUCUAGGGUAUAUAUGAGAGAUGAGAUUAGAUCUCGUUUUAUCAUGGAUGUACUCGACAGGAACAUAUAUAAAUAAAGUUUGUUUUCUUUUCUUUUCCUUUAACUAGUAUGAAAAUAAGCACCCUAUGGUUGGUUGUUCUUCAGGAUAUAUGCAUUGGCUUCCAUUGUAGCCUGUCUGAUGGC
rnacentral:lncRNA from 1 species